rnacentral:rRNA from 1 species
AUUGAACGCUGGCGGCAUGCCUUACACAUGCAAGUCGAACGGUAACGGGCCUUCGGGUGCCGACGAGUGGCGAACGGGUGAGUAAUGUAUCGGAACGUACCUUUCAGUGGGGGAUAACGUAGCGAAAGGUACGCUAAUACCCCAUAUUCUGUGAGCAGGAAAGCAGGGGAUAGCAAGACCUUGCGCUGAUUGAGCGGCCGAUAUCAGAUUAGCCAGUUGGUGAGGUAAAGGCCCACCAAGGCGACGAUUUGUAGCGGGUAUGAGAGGAUGAUCCCACACACUGCAACUGAGACACGGUCCAGACUCCUACGGGAGUCAGAAGUGGGGAAUGUUGGACGAUGGAGGCAACCCUGAUCCAGCCAUGCCGCGUGAGUGUAGAAGGCCUUCGGGUUGUAAAGCUCUUUCGGCCGGGAAGAAAUCGUAUGGGUUAAUACCCUGUGCGGAUGACGGUACCGGCAUAAGAAGCACCGGCUAACUACGUGCCAGCCGCCGCAGUAACAC